GAGAAUACUCUAUUGGAAAAAUUUCAACUAUCAUUUUUUAAGUCAUAAGCCAUUCUCCUUAAGCAAUUAAAAUUUCAAAAUUAACAAAAGUAAAGAAUUUUGUUGUUUUCCUGAAGUGGAAAUUUUGCUUAAAUUGCCCAUUGCUCAGGUAUAUGAUUCAGUGCCUAGAACUGAAUCAGGUCAUUUAUUACAUAAUUUUCAGUUUGCCAAUAGCUUGGGUGUGAACAUCUAAAGAAAUCCAUUAACUCCCUGUAAGUGCUGGAGUCAUUAAUUCUCACAGGUGUGUACUCUUCAAAUAUAUGAGCUGAAAAAUCAUGAUUCUUUGAGUAAUAUUUUUUAGAUAGCUUGCUUUUGACCAUACUUUCCAUUGUGUAAUUUAAUCUUAGAAGUUUGUACAAUGUGAUGUGGUUCAGAACUCAGAAAAUAAAUCCUUAAACAAAAUAUUGAGGGGUGCUGCUUUAUCUGCUGUUCUUAAUUGUUCAAAGCAAAAUAAUUGAACAGUGUGGGACACAAUCCAGAGUCUGAACACAGAAAGGUAGAGUUGUUCUACAUGGAGAUCCUCAGUAUGGCUUGCCUGAGAAUCUUUACUAUAUUUUUGCAUUAAAUAUUUACAAGGUUAGGUUUGGGGAAUUGAGUAUCAAGUUCAUACAGAUAAUUUAAUAUCUCUUUUUGUUGUUUUUUUUUGGUCGACAUAUAUAUGGUGUUUUGAAAGAGGGCUGUGGAACUACACCAAAGGGUAACUUCUUAUCUAACCUGCAUCUGGAGGAGUGGCAGGCACAAAUGUUGAAGUGGAAUCACUAAGGCUCAACAAAGGGACACGGCUGUCACGAGGAUGUGAUUCUAUCCUAACCUUAAACACCGCCAGUCAUGGGAAAAAAUCUCGUCGGUUCAGUCCGACUUUGAUCACUGCAUUUCUGCAGAGGGCCUGCCCCAGCACUGCGCGCCGAGUACAAGCUUGACUAGACUCCUUCAAAGAGAUCCUUAGAAUAUGCUAGAAAGUGAACUGUGGGAACUGGAGAAAAUGUUGAGCCAGGUAUCUAU